rnacentral:rRNA from 1 species
UACGAAGGGGGCUAGCGUUGUUCGGAUUUACUGGGCGUAAAGCGCACGUAGGCGGAUUGUUAAGUCAGAGGUGAAAUCCUGGAGCUCAACUCCAGAACUGCCUUUGAUACUGGCAAUCUCGAGUCCGGAAGAGGUGAGUGGAACUCCUAGUGUAGAGGUGGAAUUCGUAGAUAUUAGGAAGAACACCAGUGGCGAAGGCGACUUACUGGACACAUAUUGACGCUGAGGUGCGAAAGCGUGGGGAGCAAACAGG